rnacentral:rRNA from 1 species
UACAGAGGUCUCAAGCGUUGUUCGGAUUCAUUGGGCGUAAAGGGUGUGUAGGUGGCGCGCUAAGUCGGGUGUGAAAUUUCGGAGCUUAACUCCGAAACUGCAUUCGAUACUGGCGUGCUUGAGGACUGGAGAGGAGACUGGAAUUCAUGGUGUAGCAGUGAAAUGCGUAGAGAUCAUGAGGAAGACCGGUGGCGAAGGCGGGUCUCUGGACAGUUCCUGACACUGAAGCACGAAGGCCAGGGGAGCAAACGGG